GCUCCCCUACGGGGGGACAGCAGUGGGGAAUAUUGCGCAAUGGGGGCAACCCUGACGCAGCAACGCCGUGUGCGGGACGAAGGCCUUCGGGUUGUAAACCGCUUUCAGCAGGGAAGAACCAUGACGGUACCUGCAGAAGAAGCCCCGGCUAACUACGUGCCAGCAGCCGCGGUAAUACGUAGGGGGCGAGCGUUAUCCGGAUUCAUUGGGCGUAAAGCGCGCGUAGGCGGCCCGCUAAGGGGGACC
rnacentral:rRNA from 1 species